GGUUAACGGGGAAUUAGGGUUCAAUUCCGGAGAGGGAGCCUGAGAAACGGCUACCACAUCUAAGGAAGGCAGCAGGCGCGCAAAUUACCCAAUUCUAAYAGCAUAAGAGAGGUAGUGACAAGAAAUAACAGUACAAGGCAGUUAAAAUGCUUUGUAAUUGGAAUGAUAGAAAUUUAAAUACUUUUUAAAGUAUCAAUUGGAGGGCAAGUCUGGUGCCAGCAGCCGCGGUAAUUCCAGCUCCAAUAGCGUAUAUUAAAAUUGUUGCAGUUAAAAAGCUCGUAGUUGAAUUUUUGCUAAAAAUAACCGGUCUGCUUUUAUUAAUAAAAGUGGUAUCUUGGUGUGUUUUUAGCAAUAAURUCCUUUGAAAUGUUUUUUACUUUAUUGUAARRRGCAAUUUUCAGGAUUUUUACUUUGAGAAAAUUAGAGUGUUUCAAGCAGGCUAACGUUWUGAAUACUGCAGCAUGGAAUAAUAAAAUAGGAUUUUAGUUCUACGUUAUUGGUUUUAAGAACUAAAUUAAUGAUUGAUAGGAGCAGUUGGGGGCAUUUGUAUUUAACUGUCAGAGGU
rnacentral:rRNA from 1 species